rnacentral:misc_RNA from 1 species
GUAAAUUUAAAAAACAAUUAAAAACCAAGAAAUUGAACCUUAAUUCAAGACUGUCUAAGGAUAACAUUGAAAUUGAAGAUAGGUUAUGUUGACAUCUAUGAUUACCUUUCUUGGCUAGAGGUUUCAAAUAUGGUAGUCAAGAAGUGAGAUGCUAGGUGGUGAGGACUGUGGCAACUAGGAAAGUAGAAUGUGGCAAAGCAACGAAUCGUUGAGACAGCAAGGCAAUGAACGAAUCGGUGAAAUGACGAGGCAGUGAGAUAUGAUAUGUGGCUAUGUUGGCGAGGUAGGGCAACGAGAGGUGAGCUUCCAUUGUGAGUUUGAGACUGGUGGAAGGUGAGGUUGUGUGAUACAAUUUUCAUCUUCAAAUGAAGCUGAAGUGGAUUGGGGAUUGUUGGGUUGUGACAAGAGGGUUGGGCUUGUUGUAUUUGCAACAAGGAAGGGAGGCUUUUUGCUUGUUGGAAUGAGGAUGGGUGGGUUUACAAGUUCUUGACAAGAAAGUCUGGGUUCUGGCAACCAUAGGGUGAGUGAAGCGGGUGAGGAAGAAACAGUCCACCUUUGGGUGAGUGAUGCGGGUGAGGAAGAAACAUCUUAUACAUGGCUCUAUUUUUCUCUCUUGAACAGAAGAUGGAGAUAGAAAGAAAAAACCAAGGAGAGGGAGACAUUGGAGAGUGGGGAGGGGAAACAGGUAGGAUAAUUUAGGGAUUUAAAUUUUAUUUUCGGGGUUGACUUAAAUAUUAAGCUUUGACUAAUAGAAAUUUGUGUCCAAUUUGGAUGGAAUGACCAUUCUGUUGGCAGAAUAAAAUAAUAUUUUGCUGAUGUAAUCUGGACUAUAUUGUUUCAAAUUACGCAACUCCAGAAUAAUUUAAUUAAUGUGGACUAAGACUAUUUUUCCUUAUGAAGAACAUAUUAUUAAAAUAUCAAGGUAAGUGCACUAAAUACAACCAAUCUUGCAUUGCAGAUUAAAAGGCUUGCUUAAUAACUUCAAGGAUAGUUGCCUCUCGGUUCAUCCAACACUAAAUCUCUUCAUAUCAUGAGUAAUUUAUAAAUGGAGAAUUACUUCAAGGAC